rnacentral:rRNA from 1 species
UUUUCACGUGACCACUAGCAGGGCAUGUAGUUAAUUUAAGCUUAUAAGUUAAUACACAAAGAAACUAAACAGGAUGGACCGAGUAGUGGCGAAUGAAAAGUCCAAAGACCGAUCCGAAUUCAAGUUGUGGAUCCUACACGUCGGAAGACUCCAAAUCACCUGGAACGGUGGGCCGCAGAGAGUGAUAGCCUCUUUAGAGUCGGAAG